GGUUAAGUUAGAAAGGGCGCACGGUGGAUGCCUUGACACUAGGAGUCGAUGAAGGACGGGACUAACGCCGAUAUGCUUCGGGGAGCUGUAAGUAAGCUUUGAUCCGAAGAUUUCCGAAUGGGGAAACCCACCAUACGUAAUGGUAUGGUAUCCUUAUCUGAAUACAUAGGGUAAGGAAGACAGACCCAGGGAACUGAAACAUCUAAGUACCUGGAGGAAGAGAAAGCAAAUGCGAUUUCCUGAGUAGCGGCGAGCGAAACGGAACAUAGCCCAAACCAAGAGGCUUGCCUCUUGGGGUUGUAGGACAUUCUAUACGGAGUUACAAAGGAACGAGGUAGACGAAGCGACCUGGAAAGGUCCGUCGUAGAGGGUAACAACCCCGUAGUCGAAACUUCGUUCUCUCUUGAAUGUAUCCUGAGUACGGCGGAACACGUGAAAUUCCGUCGGAAUCUGGGAGGACCAUCUCCCAAGGCUAAAUACUCCCUAGUGAUCGAUAGUGAACCAGUACCGUGAGGGAAAGGUGAAAAGCACCCCGGAAGGGGAGUGAAAGAGAUCCUGAAACCGUGUGCCUACAAAUAGUCAGAGCCCGUUAACGGGUGAUGGCGUGCCUUUUGUAGAAUGAACCGGCGAGUUACGAUCCCGUGCGAGGUUAAGCUGAAGAGGCGGAGCCGCAGCGAAAGCGAGUCUGAAUAGGGCGUUUAGUACGUGGUCGUAGACCCGAAACCAGGUGAUCUACCCAUGUCCAGGGUGAAGUUCAGGUAACACUGAAUGGAGGCCCGAACCCACGCACGUUGAAAAGUGCGGGGAUGAGGUGUGGGUAGCGGAGAAAUUCCAAUCGAACCUGGAGAUAGCUGGUUCUCCCCGAAAUAGCUUUAGGGCUAGCCUUAAGUGUAAGAGUCUUGGAGGUAGAGCACUGAUUGGACUAGGGGUCCUCAUCGGAUUACCGAAUUCAGUCAAACUCCGAAUGCCAAUGACUUAUCCUUAGGAGUCAGACUGCGAGUGAUAAGAUCCGUAGUCAAAAGGGAAACAGCCCAGACCGCCAGCUAAGGUCCCAAAGUGUGUAUUAAGUGGAAAAGGAUGUGGAGUUGCUUAGACAACUAGGAUGUUGGCUUAGAAGCAGCCACCAUUUAAAGAGUGCGUAAUAGCUCACUAGUCGAGUGACUCUGCGCCGAAAAUGUACCGGGGCUAAAUACACCACCGAAGCUGCGGAUUGAUACCAAUGGUAUCAGUGGUAGGGGAGCGUUCUAAGGACAGUGAAGUCAGACCGGAAGGACUGGUGGAGUGCUUAGAAGUGAGAAUGCCGGUAUGAGUAGCGAAAGACGGGUGAGAAUCCCGUCCACCGAAUGCCUAAGGUUUCCUGAGGAAGGCUCGUCCGCUCAGGGUUAGUCAGGACCUAAGCCGAGGCCGACAGGCGUAGGCGAUGGACAACAGGUUGAUAUUCCUGUACCACCUCUUUAUCGUUUGAGCAAUGGAGGGACGCAGAAGGAUAGAAGAAGCGUGCGAUUGGUUGUGCACGUCCAAGCAGUUAGGCUGAUAAGUAGGCAAAUCCGCUUAUCGUGAAGGCUGAGCUGUGAUGGGGAAGCUCCUUAUGGAGCGAAGUCUUUGAUUCCCCGCUGCCAAGAAAAGCUUCUAGCGAGAUAAAAGGUGCCUGUACCGCAAACCGACACAGGUAGGCGAGGAGAGAAUCCUAAGGUGUGCGAGAGAACUCUGGUUAAGGAACUCGGCAAAAUGACCCCGUAACUUCGGGAGAAGGGGUGCUUUCUUAACGGAAAGCCGCAGUGAAUAGGCCCAAGCGACUGUUUAGCAAAAACACAGCUCUCUGCGAAGCCGUAAGGCGAAGUAUAGGGGGUGACACCUGCCCGGUGCUGGAAGGUUAAGGAGAGGGGUUAGCGUAAGCGAAGCUCUGAACUGAAGCCCCAGUAAACGGCGGCCGUAACUAUAACGGUCCUAAGGUAGCGAAAUUCCUUGUCGGGUAAGUUCCGACCCGCACGAAAGGUGUAACGAUUUGGGCACUGUCUCAACCAGAGACUCGGUGAAAUUAUAGUACCUGUGAAGAUGCAGGUUACCCGCGACAGGACGGAAAGACCCCGUGGAGCUUUACUGUAGCCUGAUAUUGAAUUUUGGUACAGUUUGUACAGGAUAGGCGGGAGCCAUUGAAACCGGAGCGCUAGCUUCGGUGGAGGCGCUGGUGGGAUACCGCCCUGACUGUAUUGAAAUUCUAACCUACGGGUCUUAUCGACCCGGGAGACAGUUUCAGGUGGGCAGUUUGACUGGGGCGGUCGCCUCCUAAAGUGUAACGGAGGCGCCCAAAGGUUCCCUCAGAAUGGUUGGAAAUCAUUCGUAGAGUGCAAAGGCAUAAGGGAGCUUGACUGCGAGACCUACAAGUCGAGCAGGGACGAAAGUCGGGCUUAGUGAUCCGGUGGUUCCGCAUGGAAGGGCCAUCGCUCAACGGAUAAAAGCUACCCCGGGGAUAACAGGCUUAUCUCCCCCAAGAGUCCACAUCGACGGGGAGGUUUGGCACCUCGAUGUCGGCUCAUCGCAUCCUGGGGCUGUAGUCGGUCCCAAGGGUUGGGCUGUUCGCCCAUUAAAGCGGUACGCGAGCUGGGUUCAGAACGUCGUGAGACAGUUCGGUCCCUAUCCGUCGUGGGCGUAGGAAAUUUGAGAGGAGCUGUCCUUAGUACGAGAGGACCGGGAUGGACGCACCGCUGGUGUACCAGUUGUUCUGCCAAGGGCAUAGCUGGGUAGCUAUGUGCGGAAGGGAUAAGUGCUGAAAGCAUCUAAGCAUGAAGCCCCCCUCAAGAUGAGAUUUCCCAUAGCGUAAGCUAGUAAGAUCCCUGAAAGAUGAUCAGGUUGAUAGGUUCGAGGUGGAAGCAUGGUGACAUGUGGAGCUGACGAAUACUAAUAGAUCGAGGACUUAACCAU
rnacentral:rRNA from 1 species